CCUACGGGUGGCUGCAGUGGGGAAUAUUGCACAAUGGGGGAAACCCUGAUGCAGCGACGCCGCGUGAGUGAAGAAGGAAUUCGUGAUGUAAAGCUCUAUCAGCAGGGAAGAAAAUGACGGUACCUGAGUAAGAAGCCCCGGCUAACUACGUGCCAGCAGCCGCGGUAAUACGUAGGGGGCAAGCGUUAUCCGGAUUUACUGGGUGUCAAGGGAGCGUAGACGGCAGUGCAAGUCUGGAGUGAAAGGCGGGGGCUCAACCCCCGGACUGCUCUGGAAACUGUACGGCUGGAGUGCAGGAGAGGUAAGUGGACUUCCUAGUGUAGCUGUGUACUGCGUCUAUAUUAGGAGGCACCCCAGUGGCGAAGGCGGCUUACUGUACUGUAACUGACGUUGAGGCUC
rnacentral:rRNA from 1 species